UCACAAAUGUUCUUUUGGUCCAUUCUAGAUUUUCAAAAAACUGUCAAUAAGCUAGUGUAGCCAGACUGUGUGGAGGCAAAUAGAGAGUUAGAAUAACAUAAAGGUAGGAAGGGGCCAGGUUUGAAACAGAGGACUUGAUACUUAAUUCUGAAGAUAAUAGAAGCCACAAGAAUUCGUUGAGCAGGAGAUUUACACAAAAAUGAAGAAAUAGGGAAGGUCCAUGAAGAACUUCAGAAGAUCCUCCAAAUUAAGUGAGCACAUUUGAUAUGAUAUACAGCCGUUGUAAUGCAAAAUUGGACCCAGAGAAGCCAGCAAAAAUUAUGUUGGAAAUAAAACUUCAGGAUCAAGAAGUAAACAAGGUGAAAGGCUCAUAGGCUGUGCAUAUACUCCUCAAACAGCUACAUCCUGAAUACUUUGAAGAGGCUGGACCUGGUGAGCACUGGACAACGUCAAAGUGAGUAAACUGAGCCUUAUAGGAGUGAAAAUCAUUUGUGGACCCACAGCUAGUAAAUGUCAAGAGGCCAGAUUUGAACCCAGGUCUUCCUGACUCCAGGUCCAAAGUGUCAUCCAAUGUGCCACGCUCUAUUUAAUAGAGAGAUUAAUGUGGAAAGAAUGGAGGGAAAAAACACCCCACAAGAUUUGGGGUCAGAAGACUGAGCUCAAUUCCCAAUUGUUUAACCUUGAGAAACUCACAUAUAUAGGGGAAGCUAGUUGGCCCAGUGGAUAGAGCACCGGCUCUGGAGU